UGAACGCUGGCGGAAUGCUUUACACAUGCAAAUCGAGCGGCAGCGCGGCCUUCGGGCUGGCGGCGAGCGGCGAACGGGUGAGUAAUGCAUCGGAACAUGCCCAGUCGUGGGGGAUAACACUUCGAAAGAAGUGCUAAUACCGCAUACGUCCUGAGGGGGAAAGCGGGGGAUCGCAAGACCUCGCGCGAUUGGAGUGGCCGAUGUCAGAUUAGCUAGUUGGUGGGGUAAAGGCCUACCAAGGCGACGAUCUGUAGCUGGUCUGAGAGGAUGAUCAGCCACACUGGGACUGAGACACGGCCCAGACUCCUACGGGAGGCAGCAGUGGGGAAUUUUGGACAAUGGGGGCAACCCUGAUCCAGCCAUUCCGCGUGAGUGAAGAAGGCCUUCGGGUUGUAAAGCUCUUUCGGCAGGAACGAAACGGUGGGCUCUAACAUAGUCCGCUAAUGACGGUACCUGAAGAAGAAGCACCGGCUAACUACGUG
rnacentral:rRNA from 1 species